rnacentral:rRNA from 1 species
GAUGAACGCUGGCGGCGUGCCUAAUACAUGCAAGUCGAGCGAACAGAUGAAGUGCUUGCACUUCUGACGUUAGCGGCGAACGGGUGAGUAACACGUAAGGAAUCUACCUAUAAGCGGGGGAUAACAUUCGGAAACGGGUGCUAAUACCGCAUAAUAUCUUCUUCCGCAUGGAAGAAGAUUGAAAGACGGCUCUGCUGUCACUUAUAGAUGACCUUGCGGUGCAUUAGUUAGUUGGUGGGGUAAUGGCCUACCAAGACGAUGAUGCAUAGCCGACCUGAGAGGGUGAUCGGCCAAAUUGGGACUGAGACACGGCCCAAACUCCUACGGGAGGCAGCAGUAGGGAAUCUUCCGCAAUGGGCGAAAGCCUGACGGAGCAAUGCCGCGUGAGUGAAGAAGGCCUUCGGGUCGUAAAACUCUGUUAUAAGAGAAGAACAAAUUGUAGAGUAACGGCUACAGUCUUGACGGUAUCUUAUCAGAAAGCCACGGCUAACUACGUGCCAGCAGCCGCGGUAA